rnacentral:rRNA from 1 species
UACAGAGGUCUCAAGCGUUGUUCGGAUUCAUUGGGCGUAAAGGGUGUCGUAGGCGGCGCGGUAAGUCGGGUGUGAAAUUCGAUGGCUUAACUCCGAAACUGCAUUCGAUACUGCCGUGCUUGAGGACUGGAGAGGAGACUGGAAUUCAUGGUGUAGCAGUGAAAUGCGUAGAGAUCAUGAGGAAGACCAGUGGCGAAGGCGGGUCUCUGGACAGUUCCUGACACUGAGACACGGAAGGCCAGGGGAGCAAACGGG